UUCAAGUUAGUUUUUAAAGUUCCGUUAUUUAAAAGAACAGCUACUCUGAAGUCAGCAAUGGAACAUCCAGG